rnacentral:rRNA from 1 species
ACGGGAGGCAGCAGUGGGGAAUAUUGGGCAAUGGGCGAAAGCCUGACCCAGCGACGCCGCGUGAGCGAAGAAGGUCUUCGGGUUGUAAAGCUCUGUUGAUAGGGACGAACAAAUGACGGUACCUAUCGAGGAAGCCACGGCUAACUCCGUGCCAGCAGCCGCGGUAAUACGUAUGGGGCAAGCGUUAUCCGGAUUUACUGGGUGUAAAGGGAGCGUAGACGGCAAAGCAAGUCUGAAGUGAAAUCCCGGGGCUCAACCCCGGAACUGCUUUGGAAACUGUUUAGCUAGAGUGCAGGAGAGGUAAGCGGAAUUCCUAGUGUAGCGGUGAAAUGCGUAGAUAUUAGGAGGAACACCAGUGGCGAAGGCGGCUUACUGGACUGUAACUGACGUUGAGGCUCGAAAGCGUGGGGAGCAAACAGGAUUAGAUACCCUGGUA